rnacentral:lncRNA from 1 species
GGAAAUGGAAAUUGACUUAUUGAUGGAUCGGACAUCAAUUUCAAAAGAAUUAUUUCCUUUCUUCAGUAUGAAAGUCAUAUCAAGGAAAAACAAAUAAAUUUUAUUUGAAAAGGCUACCCAUGAAAACAUUACGGAAGAUGGCAAACAAAAACAUGCAAACUCUUCUUUGGGUUCUACAAGGAAAUUUUGUGUCAACUAAUAAAAUGGUUAAAAAAAGAUCUUAAUGGACAAACAAAUAUAAUAAAAUAUACCAUCAGAGAUUCCCAGGAAUCAUUCUUAUACGUCGGGAAGGUCCAGCAAGAAGUGUAAGACCAUAUUACAUUUUUGAAAUCACAGAAAAAUGACAUUCAACCAUUAAUUGCUGCCAGAGGGAUAUGUGUAUAUUUUGACGAUAUCAGGUAUACAUUUUUUAUUUAUUUAAUCUUAAUUUUCCUUCCGAGUCAGAAAUGUUCUGGAAUUUUAUUGAAUAUUAUAUAUUUUUUUAAUACAAGGUAAUUGCUCUUUUUCUUUCAGAAAAAUAGUUUAGAUAAUCUAAUAACAAAUAAGUCUAAAAUUAUCUGCAAUAAAUAUUGAUUCUACAUAUUUAUAAUUUUUUAUAUUGUUCAUUAUUAUUAAAAAAUAACACAGUUAUAUACAAUAUACUUAUAAAGAAACAAAAAUUUGCUGAAAUUUCAGAACUUUUUAGAUAUUUUCAUCCUGUUUGAUUUUUGUAUAAAAUAAGAAGAAUCAAUUUCUGCUACAUAUAUUUAGUUAUUUAAUUUUUUUUCAAAUUAAAUGAUAAAAAGUGGUGUGUUAAUUAAAAAUAUAUUUGUUUUUCUUUAAA